UAAUUGAAGAGUUUGAUCAUGGCUCAGAUUGAACGCUGGCGGCAGGCCUAACACAUGCAAGUCGGGCGGUAACAGGGAGAA
rnacentral:rRNA from 1 species